rnacentral:rRNA from 1 species
UCAAGCUAAAAAGAGCGCAGGGUGGAUGCCUUGGCACUAAGAGCCGAUGAAAGACGUGAUAAGCUGCGAUAAGCUACGGGGAGGAGCACAUAUCCAUUGAUCCGUAGAUUUCUGAAUGGGGAAACCCGGCUGAGCAUACCUCAGUCACCGUACACUGAAUCCAUAGGUGUACGGAGGGAACCCGGUGAACUGAAACAUCUAAGUAGCCGGAGGAAGAGAAAGAAAACUCGAUUUUCAAAGUAGCGGCGAGCGAAAUGGAAAGAGCCCAAACCGGAGUGCGUGCACUCCGGGGUUCGGACUGCAUUUAUGACUUCUGACUGUAGCGGAACGGUUCUGGAAAGACCGGCCAGAGAGGGUGAGAGCCCCGUAGGCGAAACGGAAGGAAGCAGAGCAGGAUCCAGAGUACCACGAGACACGAGAAACCUUGUGGGAAUGAGCGGGGACCACCCCGUAAGGCUAAAUACUCCUUAGUGACCGAUAGAGCAGAGUACUGUGAAGGAAAGGUGAAAAGGACCCCGGGAGGGGAGUGAAAGAGAACCUGAAACCCUGUGUUUACAAACUGUGGAAGUACCAUAUGAGUACAACCGCGUACUUUUUGUAGAACGGUCCGGCGAGUUACGUUUACUGGCGAGGUUAAGCACUUAAGGUGCGGAGCCGAAGGGAUACCAAGUCUUAACAGGGCGUUAAGUCAGUGUACGUAGACCCGAAACCGGGUGAUCUACCCAUGUCCAGGCUGAAGUUGCCGUAAAAGGCAAUGGAGGGCCGAACGCACAUCCGUUGAAAAGGGUGGCGAUGAGGUGUGGGUAGGGGAGAAAUUCCAAUCGAACCCGGAGAUAGCUGGUUCUCCUCGAAAUAGCUUUAGGGCUAGCCUCGUUUUAGUCUUAUGGAGGUAGAGCACUGAAUUUCCGCGGGGGCGUCAAAGCUUACCAAAGAAUAUCAAACUCCGAAUGCCAUGUAGAUGAUGAACGGGAGUCAGACUGCACGAGAUAAGUUGGGCAGUCAAAAGGGAAAGAGCCCAGACCGCCAGCCAAGGUCCCAAAGUGUGUGUUAAGUGGAAAAGGAUGUGGGAUCUCCAAGACAACUAGGAUGUUGGCUCAGAAGCAGCCACACAUUCAAAGAGUGCGUAACAGCUCACUAGUCGAGAGGUCCUGCGCCGAAAAUGUCCGGGGCUGAAACACAACACCGAAGCUGCGGAAUUGCGAAUGCAAUUGGUAGAGGAGCAUUCUUAAUACCGACGAAGCUGUACCGGAAGGAGCAGUGGAGGGAUAAGAAGAGAGAAUGCCGGAAUGAGUAGCGAGAGAGAGGUGGGAAUCCUCUCGGCCGAAUAUCCAAGGUUUCCAGAGUAAAGCUGAUCUGCUCUGGGUAAGUCGGGGCCUAAGGCGAGGUCAAAAGACGUAGCCGAUGGACAACAGGUUUAGAUUCCUGUACCGCAUAUAAACAGAACUGUGGGGACGCAUGGGGAGAGCAUGGGCCGGGAAUGGAAAUACCGGUGCAAGCGAAGGAGGUGUGCAGCCGGCAAAUCCGCUGCAUGAGCCGAAAGCGUGACGCGGAGCGAAAUGAAAGUAGCGAAGCAUGUGAGCCCUGUGCCGAGAAAAGCCGCUAUAGCUUUAUAUGUGCCCGUACCGUAAACCGACACAGGUGGAUGAGGAGAGAAUCCUAAGGCCGGCGGAAGAAGUAUUGUUAAGGAACUCGGCAAAAUGACCCCGUAACUUCGGGAGAAGGGGUGCCCACGGGAGUGGGCCGCAGAGAAUAGGCUCAAGCAACUGUUUAGCAAAAACACAGGUCUAUGCGAAACCGAAAGGUGAAGUAUAUGGGCUGACGCCUGCCCGGUGCUGGAAGGUUAAGAGGAGAGGUUAGCGCAAGCGAAGCUUUGAAUUUAAGCCCCAGUAAACGGCGGCCGUAACUAUAACGGUCCUAAGGUAGCGAAAUUCCUUGUCGGGUAAGUUCCGACCCGC